CCACGCACAUCAACGCGCUUCAAAAUCGUCGGCAGCGCUGCGUAGGAUUUGUUCGAGAAUGCCUCCAAAUAAGUGCGUUUUUGGAUGUGAGGGAAAGUUUACUGUGUACAGCUCCCCCAAGAACCCAGCGUUACAUGAACAGUGGAUGCAGUUUUUAGUUUUUUCUGGGAAGCAAUGGAGUGUAUCAAGUGCAUUUGUGUGUUCUGGUCACGAAAGUUUUAUAAACAAGGCCCAAGUCGACGCUGUAUUUGCACAUCGUUUGCUAUUAAACAUGGAGCUGACCCUGUGACAAAAGACCCCAUUCAUGCAAGCCUUAACAUGGAACCCGCAGGGCAAGCGGAAAAGAGGCAGGCCAAGAAACACAUGGCGUCGAGAACUGGAGGCAGAUAUAAAGAACAUGAAUAUUACCUGGAACCAACUAGAGAAGAGACCCCAGGACAGAGACUCUUGGAGAUCCCUAAUUGGCGGCCUAUGCCCCAAAAGAGAUGUCAUUAACUGGAAAGUCGUUCCUGUAGUCUCUGAGGAAGACGCCAUCCAUUAAGUGGACGAAGAAAAGCCGAAGGAGCUAUUCUUGGAGGAUGAAGGGAAUAUAGACAAAGCCAUAUUUAGUAGAGACAGUCUUGAGACUGAAGAGGAGAAGAAAUGGAUUCAAUACAUGAGGAAGAACAGGGAAAGAAUAAAGACUCUGCUG